GACAGAGGGUGCAAACGUUGUUCGGAAUUACUGGGCGUAAAGCGCGUGUAGGCGGCUAAGUAAGUCGGGCGUGAAAUCCCACGGCUCAACCGUGGAAGUGCACUCGAAACUGCAUAGCUAGAGUCCUGGAGAGGAAGGUGGAAUGCUUGGUGUAGAGGUGAAAUUCGUAGAUAUCAAGCGGAACACCGGUGGCGAAGGCGGCCUUCUGGACAGUGACUGACGCUGAGACGCGAAAGCGCGGGGAGCAAACAGG
rnacentral:rRNA from 1 species